GGCAAAUCAUCCUAUCCGGCAAUGUAAAUAAUAUUUUGCAGAGUACGCAUAGAACUCUUCGUGUUUUGAAAAUUGUGGUUGUUUUUUUUUGCUUUUUGCCGUUUUUAAGUGUUUUAAUGUUGUAAAGCUGAAUAACUUGUGUUAAGAUCUCGUCGGAAAACUACUUAGCUUGUCCAAAUCUCGGUCAACUGUUUACAAAUCCAUGACGCAACAAUAAGGAUGAUUUUGGGCGGGUUCGCGGCCACGCAAUGCAUCAAGUCGAUUUAAAUUUUCCAAGCAGGGAGACGAUUACGACUUGGCAAAAAAUAACCCGGACGGUAGCCAGCAACGAGCGGAAAGCCUAGAACAAGAUGACCAUCAACAAGUGCCGUCAACAGCCACAGGUCGUGAUUUUGCUGUUCAUCUGAUGCUGAUCUUUAACAUGGACUUGAAAAAUCUAUGUACUAACUGCUUCAAGUCUGAAUGGUCAUGACCGAGUACACCGAGCGGAAGAAGAUGUCGAGCGACAGGAUAUGCAUGGCCAUUCCAAGCCGGUGAACAGGGUCAAGGUCGUCGGUCUGGCAAGUCCGUAUCAUUUUGCUCGAUCCGGUCGAUUGUUCGACUGCCAAAAGCAUCGAGGAGGGAAUCGUCUCCACCGCGACAUGCUUAAACCUGAACGGCGUCCUGUUGAAGACGGUGCUGGAUCUAGUUUCCCACACUGGUAACCUGUUACGGAUCAACACCGGAUUAAAGUUUUGAUCGUGUCCAGACUUUUGGGGCUGAGCAUCUUUGUGAUAGAAACUGUUAACCGUUAGCGUACGCGUGCAGUGCGCCAAAGAUUACAUUUUGACCAAUAUUCGAUAUUUCAUUGACGACGUUGUAGGGUCUAAACGGUGGAAAAAGAGUGCACCUUUCGAGGCACGUUUCGUGAUGUUGUCCGGCAUGGUCGGAAUGGUUCCGUUUACAAGUCUUGCCAACAAACAAAACCCACAUCUUUACGUUCGAGACCAUCCCCAGUUCCUGUAGGGGAUUCGGGGCCUCAAAAAGUACUUUGAUGCAAUUAUU